rnacentral:rRNA from 1 species
GAGUUUGAUUAUGGCUCAGGAUGAACGCUGGCGGCGUGCCUAAUACAUGCAAGUCGAGCGAGAAUCUGAACGACGGAGACUUCGGUCAAAGGAAUUCAGAGGAAAGCGGCGGACGGGUGAGUAACGCGUGGGCAACCUGCCCCAUACAGAGGGAUAGCAGUUGGAAACGACUAUUAAUACCUCAUACUCCGGUUUUAUCGCAUGAUAGAACCGGGAAAGAUUUAUCGGUAUGGGAUGGGCCCGCGUCUGAUUAGCUAGUUGGUGAGGUAACGGCUCACCAAGGCGACGAUCAGUAGCCAACCUUAGAGGGUGAUUGGCCACACUGGAACUGAGACACGGUCCAGACUCCUACGGGAGGCAGCAGUAGGGAAUAUUGGGCAAUGGGGGCAACCCUGACCCAGCAACGCCGCGUGAACGAUGAAAAUCUUCGGAUUGUAAAGUUCUUUUCUUGAGGAAGAAGAA